AACGCAAAUUGCACUUCCUGGUAUUCCGGGGAGUAUGCCUGUUUGAGGGUCGUUUUAAAUUAAAUCGAUGUGUUGUUUUUUCGUGAUGACGCGUCGGGGUUGGGUUAUCUUGGCCCUUGGGGUUUAAGAGACCUAAAAUUGACUUUUUUGGAGCAUUCCAGACGUGUAAAUUUUUUUAUCUGUCUCGUCAUGCUCAAGUGUUCAUUAGGUGCGGUCAUGUUUGAUGUGAUCUCGCGCCUAUGAUUCUCGUUUUUCGACCUCAAGUCAGGUAGGGACACCCGCUGAACUUAA
rnacentral:misc_RNA from 1 species